GUGAGUCAUCGAAUCUUUGAACGCACAUUGCGCCCGCCAGUAUUCUGGCGGGCAUGCCUGUCCGAGCGUCAUGUCGACCCUCAAGCGGCCCAGCUUGGUGUUGGGGACCCCGCGGGCACACUGCGGGGCCCUGGAAAUCAGUGGCGGGCUCGCCGCGGCCCCGGGCGUAGUAUGUCUCUCGUGCCUCGCCCUGGAUGACGCGGCCUGCUCCGGCCGUAAAACCCCCCACCUAGGGCCCGGGCCACCGGGCUCCAAAAGGUUGACCUCGGAUCAGGUAGGACUACCCGCUGAACUUAAGCAUAUCAAUAAGCGGAGGA
rnacentral:misc_RNA from 1 species